UCCCUCUUAGCUCAGUGGUAGAGCGUGUCACUCGUAUCUGUAGUGGCGAUGACAAGGUCAGUCGUUCAAUCCGGCUAGCGGGAA